rnacentral:rRNA from 1 species
CCUACGGGUGGCAGCAGUGAGGAAUAUUGGUCAAUGGACGCAAGUCUGAACCAGCCAUGCCGCGUGCAGGAAGACGGCUCUAUGAGUUGUAAACUGCUUUUGUACGAGGGUAAACUUCAAUACGCGUAUCCCUCUGCAAGUACCGUACGAAUAAGGAUCGGCUAACUCCGUGCCAGCAGCCGCGGUAAUACGGAGGAUCCAAGCGUUAUCCGGAUUUAUUGGGUUUAAAGGGUGCGUAGGCGGGCGUAUAAGUUAGAGGUGAAAUGCCGGGGCUUAACUUUGGAAUUGCCGCUGAUACUGUUGGGCUAGAGAGUAGUUGCGGCAGGCGGAAUGUAUGGUGUAGCGGUGAAAUGCUUAGAGAUCAUACAGAACACCGAUUGCGAAGGCAGCUUACCAAGCUAUGUCUGACGUUGAGGCACGAAAGCGUGGGGAGCAAACAGGAUUAGAUACCCUGGUAGUC